rnacentral:lncRNA from 1 species
AUAAGCACAACCUUUAGAAAAAUUGCCUUUGACAAUACCUUGGUACAUAGUUUUCAUCUGCACUGGUGGCCUCCUGUGUCAUUGUGAGGUCAUUGGCAUCUAAUAUUCUUACCUCAGACAACAUGUGCAACACCACAGUCAGCAAAUUAACCAUGAACCAAGGAUAUCUUUGAUUGCUUAUUUUCUUUGUUUCUUACAAACCCCCACACAAGAGGGGGUCAGACUGCAAUGCAGUCUGGGUUAUGUGAUUUCAACCCAGGACUUUAAGAACUAAUGUAAAAAUGUAGAAAAAGUGGUGUCAAAACAAAAAGAAAGAAAAUGAAAAGCAUCUACAAUUUCCCCACAUAGAGAUUGGAUCCACAAGAAGAGGUUUGGCAUUCAUGGAAACAAUCAUGAAAGAGAAACAACUAUUUUACCCCACUAGCCUGCCAACAUGGUGACCAGACCCUCCAAGGAUGUUGAAAUGGGAAGGCAGAGUCUGUGAGAUAAUUCAAAAGGCCAUCCCCAGCCUUCAGGAACUAUCUCCAAAUCAUUUGGAAAAUCCCAUGCCCUCGAUCCUUUCUCGUGCAGCAGAUACCUUCAUCUCCACUACCAUCAUCACUACCCACAACAAAGGAUAGCUGGCAUUACAAUGGAUCCAGCACUAGGAAGUCUACUUACAGGCAAAAUCUCAUCUAAUCAUUACAAAAAACAAAACAAAACACCUCUGAAGAAAAUAGCCUCAUUUCCAUCUUACAGAUGAUAAAAGUUAAGAUUUUGAAAGGUUAUAUAACUGACGAUGGUCACAUAGCUAGAAAAUCACAGUGAGCCCUAGUAGGUUCUGUGAUUUCAGAGACCUUGCUCUAUGACAUUAUACUUCCUCCCCUUAAUGAAAACUAGUUGUGAGAAGUGGAUCUUCCAUAUUCCCUCGGACCAGUGUUUCCCAGGCCUUGGUUUGACCUNGAUUUCAGACACCUUGCUCUAUGACAUUAUACUUCCUCCCCUUAAUGAAAACUAGUUGUUCUCACAACUUCUCAGUGGAUCUUCCAUAUUCCCUCGGACCAGUGUUUCCCAGGCCUUGGUUUGACCUCUGGUAAGGAUAGUGCAUGUCUAGCUUUCUCCAUUCCAUGAAUGGACUCCUCUUACAUGUGUCUUGCAACCUCU